UACGAAGGGGGCUAGCGUUGUUCGGAAUUACUGGGCGUAAAGCGCGUGUAGGCGGACCUGCAAGUCGGGGGUGAAAGCCCGAGGCUCAACCUCGGAACUGCCUUCGAUACUGCGGGUCUCGAGUCCGGGAGAGGUGAGUGGAAUUCCUAGUGUAGAGGUGAAAUUCGUAGAUAUUAGGAAGAACACCAGUGGCGAAGGCGGCUCACUGGCUCGGUACUGACGCUGAGGCGCGAAAGCGUGGGGAGCAAACAGG
rnacentral:rRNA from 1 species